CGCCCGUCACACCAUGAGAGUUGGUAAUACCAGAAGCACGUAUCUUAACCGUAAGGAGGGAGCGUACCAAGGUAGGAUUAGCGAUUAGGGUGAAGUCGUAACAAGGUAUCCGUACGGGAACGUGCGGAUGGAUCACCUCCUUUCUAUGGAGUAUUCGUAGAUUAAGAGAAAAAGCUGAGUGAAACGAUAAAACAGCUUAUGAUUAUAUCUCGUUCUAUCUAGUUUUCAGAGAUUGUUUUUGCGGGCCUUUUGGCCCAAACAAUUUCUGUAAAGAAAAUCGUUCUUUGAAAACUGAAUAUUAGAUGAAAAUAGACAUUUUAUUUUUCUUACGUUUAUAAACAAUAUAAAACGUAUUAGUAACUUAAUUUAGAUUAAUACUAAGAAAACUAAAAUUUCAUUAAUUUUAUAGAUUAUCUAUAUAUGCAAUAGGUUUUUCUUUAGAAAGUAUAGUAAGGGCGUAUGGUGAAUGCCUUGGAAAAUGGAGCCGAUGAAGGACGUGACUACCUGCGAAAAGUGCCGGGGAGCUGGAAGUAAGCUUUGAUCCGACAAUGUCCGAAUGGGGAAACCCAGCACGAUUAAUCUCGUGUUAUCCAUAACUGAAUACAUAGGUUAUGAGAAGGGAACCUUGGGAACUGAAACAUCUUAGUACCAAGAGGAAAAGAAAACGAAUGUGAUUCUGUAAGUAGCGGCGAGCGAAAGCGGAACAGGCCAAACCGGUCUACGGGCCGGGGUUGUAGGACUCAUGUUAGAGUUACAAAGUUAGUGUAUAGCAGAAGCUGUUGGGAAGCAGCGCCGCAGAGGGUGAUAGCCCCGUAUGCGAAAUGCACUAACCUCGAGUGAGUAUCCUGAGUACGGCGGGGCACGAGAAACCCUGUCGGAAUCUACCCAGACCACUGGGUAAGCCUAAAUACUACCAUUUUACCGAUAGUGAACCA
rnacentral:sRNA from 1 species